UAUAAUCCAAGUUAUGGUCUAAUCAUUCUUCAGGCUGCCUUGAAGUAGUAAGAAAACUGUGAGCUACAUAGAACUUAGAUAACAGGGUGUUCAAAUUGAAGUAUAGGUAGUCACAUACAUCAGUAAAAGGAACCAGAUCCUUUCCUUUGCCCAGGAGAGGAAGGAAGGUGAGAAAGGAUGAACAAAAAGUUUGGUGGAGGGAAGCAACCAAUUGGAACACCAUCGUUAGCAUGGUCAUCCGUUGUGGUUGUUGUUUCACUUUUAGCAGGUGCCUCUGUUGUGCACAAUAUCUUCAAGCCUGACUUGACAUUGCCAGCGAUGGAGAAUGUCACUGGGACUAAGGAACAAGCCCCUGGAAAAAAUUAAUAGUCGUCUCUUCAAGGCUCAAUAUGAAUUUCUGAGAUCGUUAGACUGCAGAUUGCAGUAUCUGGACUCUUGACUUACCAAAAUGAAGCAGGUUCUGGGAUUGUUCCUUCUUGUGGAUUCACAUUUUUCAUGUCGAUUUGAUUGGCAUCACAUGUCGUCAUGAACGGGGACAUAGUUUUGAUCUUUAAACUUAAUUAUCACCAUUUCUAGUGUACUCUUUUUCAUACCCUGUUCUGGGUUUCAUUACAAAGAAAAUUUAUCUCGUAUUUCUGACA